rnacentral:rRNA from 1 species
AACGAACGCUGGCGGCAGGCUUAACACAUGCAAGUCGAGCGCCCCGCAAGGGGAGCGGCAGACGGGUGAGUAACGCGUGGGAACCUACCUCAUGGUGCGGAAUAACUCAGGGAAACUUGAGCUAAUACCGCAUGUGUCCUUCGGGAGAAAGAUUUAUCGCCAUGAGAUGGGCCCGCGUCGGAUUAGCUAGUUGGUGGGGUAACGGCCUACCAAGGCGACGAUCCGUAGCUGGUCUGAGAGGAUGAUCAGCCACACUGGGACUGAGACACGGCCCAGACUCCUACGGGAGGCAGCAGUGGGGAAUAUUGGACAACGGGCGCAAGCCUGAUCCAGCCAUGCCGCGUGAGUGAUGAAGGCCUUAGGGUUGUAAAGCUCUUUCGCCAGUGAAGAUAAUGACGGUAACCGGAGAAGAAGCCCCGGCUAACUUCGUGCCAGCAGCCGCCGUAA